rnacentral:rRNA from 1 species
AGAGUUUGAUCCUGGCUCAGAACGAACGCUGGCGGCGCGUCUUAAGCAUGCAAGUCGAACGGCAAGAGAGAAGCUUGCUUCUCUCCUAGAGUGGCGGACUGGUGAGGAACACGUGGGUAAUCUACCCUUAAGAUGGGGAUAGCUGCUAGAAAUAGCAGGUAAUACCGAAUACACUCGAUAGUUCAUAAGAAGUAUUGAGGAAAGGAAGCUACGGCUUCGCUUGAGGAUGAGCUUGCGUCCCAUUAGCUAGUUGGUGAGGUAAAGGCCCACCAAGGCGACGAUGGGUAUCCGGCCUGAGAGGGUGAUCGGACACAUUGGGACUGAGAUACGGCCCAAACUCCUACGGGAGGCAGCAGCUAAGAAUAUUCCGCAAUGGACGGAAGUCUGACGGAGCGACGCCGCGUGGAUGAAGAAGGCUGAAAAGUUGUAAAAUCCUUUUGUUGAUGAAGAAUAAGGGUGAGAGGGAAUGCUCAUCUGAUGACGGUAAUCGACGAAUAAGCCCCGGCUAAUUACGUGCCAGCAGCCGCGGUAACACGUAAGGGGCGAGCGUUGUUCGGAAUUAUUGGGCGUAAAGGGCAUGUAGGCGGUUAUGUAAGCCUGGUGUGAAAUCCUGGGGCUUAACCCUAGAAUAGCAUUGGGUACUGUAUAACUUGAAUUACGGAAGGGAAACUGGAAUUCCAAGUGUAGGGGUGGAAUCUGUAGAUAUUUGGAAGAACACCGGUGGCGAAGGCGGGUUUCUGGCCGAUAAUUGACGCUGAGAUGCGAAAGUGUGGGGAUCGAACAGGAUUAGAUACCCUGGUAGUCCACACUGUAAACGAUGUACACUAGGUGUUGGGGCAAGAGCUUCAGUGCCAAAGCAAACGCGAUAAGUGUACCGCCUGGGGAGUAUGCCCGCAAGGGUGAAACUCAAAGGAAUUGACGGGGGCCCGCACAAGCGGUGGAGCAUGUGGUUUAA